rnacentral:rRNA from 1 species
CUCCAGACUCCUACGGGAGGCAGCAGUGGGGAAUAUUGGGCAAUGGGCGCAAGCCUGACCCAGCAACGCCGCGUGAAGGAAGAAGGCUUUCGGGUUGUAAACUUCUUUUAAGAGGGAAGAGAAGAAGACGGUACCUCUUGAAUAAGCCACGGCUAACUACGUGCCAGCAGCCGCGGUAAUACGUAGGUGGCAAGCGUUGUCCGGAUUUACUGGGCGUAAAGGGCGUGCAGCCGGGAAGACAAGUCAGAUGUGAAAUCCGGGGGCUCAACCCCCGAACUGCAUUUGAAACUGUUGGUCUUGAGUAUCGGAGAGGCAGGCGGAAUUCCUAGUGUAGCGGUGAAAUGCGUAGAUAUUAGGAGGAACACCAGUGGCGAAGGCGGCCUGCUGGACGACAACUGACGGUGAGGCGCGAAAGCGUGGGGAGCAAACAGGAUUAGAUACCCCUGUAGA